AAAGGUUUGGUCCUGGCCUUAUAAUUAGUUGGAGAUAAGAUUACACAUGCAAAACUCCCUAAGCCAGUGUCAAAUCCCUUAGAACUUUUAUAUAAACCUAAGGAGAGGGCAUCAAGCACAUUAAAUAAUAGCUUAAGACGCCUUGCCUAGCCACGCCCCCACGGGACCCAGCAGUGAUAAAAAUUAAGCAAUGAACGAAAGUUUGACUAAGCUAUAUCUCCAGAGGGUUGGUAAAUUUCGUGCCAGCCACCGCGGUCAUACGAUUAACCCAAACUAAUUACCCACGGCGUAAAACGUGUCCAUAGGAAUAAAAAAAUAGAAUUAAAAGUCAACCAAUAUGUGAAAAUUCAUCGCUGAAUUUAAAAACACUAACGAAAGUAAUUCUAAUUAACUUAAUACACGAUAGCUAAGAUCCAAACUGGGAUUAGAUACCCCACUAUGCUUAGCCCUAAACCCUAAUAACUUAAUAACAAAAUUAUUUGCCCGAGAACUACUGGCCACAGCUUAAAACUCAAAGGACUUGGCGGUACUUUAUAUCCAUCUAGAGGAGCCUGUUCUAUAAUCGAUAAACCCCGUUAUACCUUACCAUUCCUUGCUAAUUCAGCCUAUAUACCGCCAUCUUCAGCAAACCUUAAAAAAGAACAACAGUAAGCAAGAGAAUCACCAUAAAAACGUUAGGUCAAGGUGUAGCCUAUGGAAUGGGAAGUAAUGGGCUACAUUUUCUAUAUAAGAACAUUACGAAACCCUUUAUGAAACCUAAAGGACAAAGGAGGAUUUAGUAGUAAAUUAAGAAUAGAGUGCUUAAUUGAAUAGCGCAAUGAAGUACGCACACACCGCCCGUCACCCUCCUCAAAUUAAACGAACACAAUACAAAUACAUAAUACAAUUAACAAGUUUAUGAGAGGAGAUAAGUCGUAACAAGGUAAGCGUACUGGAAAGUGUGCUUGGAACAAC
rnacentral:ncRNA from 1 species